GUUGGCUUGGAAGCAGCCAUUCAUUUAAAGAGUGCGUAACAGCUCACUAGUCGAGUGAUCCCGCAUGGAUAAUAAUCGGGCAUAAGUCCGCUGCCGCAGCCGUGGAAUCUCAAAUAUUUUUGAGAUUGGUAGGGGAGCAUUCCGCACGCCGCAGAAGGUGAGGCGCGAGCCUUGCUGGAGGUACCGGAAAAGCAAAUGUAGGUAUAAGUAACGAUAAUUGGGGCGAGAAACCCCAACGCCGAAAGACCAAGGGUUCCUGAUCAACGCUAAUCGGAUCAGGUUAAGUCGGGACCUAAGGAGGAGCCGCAAGGCGCAUCCGAUGGACAGCCGGUCAAUAUUCCGGCACCCGGCGCAAGAGUGAUGCGGCGACGGAGAAGUGACACAUCCGCGUGCUGACGGAAUAGCACGUUAAACCGCGUAGUUAUAUAUGGCGCAGUCAAGUACACGCUGUAUGAUGAAACGGGACAGUACCGAGAAGCCCCGGCGGAUCGGACAGUGAUGGUAAACCGGCUCCCAAGAAAACCCGCUAAACAAAUCUUGCGUUGGCCCGUACCGUAAACCGACACAGGUGGUCGGGUAGAAUAUACUAAGGCGCUCGAGAGAAUCAUGGUUAAGGAACUAGGCAAAUUGACCCCGUAACUUCGGGAUAAGGGGUCCCCGCUGCAAGGCGGGGCGCAGAGAAUAGGUCCAGGCAACUGUUUAACAAAAACACAGGGCUAUGCAAAGUUUAAAGACGAAGAAUAUAGCCUGACACCUGCCCGGUGCCGGAAGGUUAAGAGGAGAUGUCAUCGCAAGAGAAGCAUUGAAUUGAAGCCCCGGUAAACGGCGGCCGUAACUAUAACGGUCCUAAGGUAGCGAAAUUCCUUGUCGGGUAAGUUCCGACCUGCACGAAUGGUGUAAUGAUCUGGACACUGUCUCAACCAUGAACUCGGUGAAAUUGUAGUAUCGGUGAAGAUGCCGAUUACCCGCAACGGGACGAAAAGACCCCGUGAACCUUUACUGCAGCUUAGCACUGUGACCGGGUGUGCGAUGUGUAGGAUAGUCAGGAGACAGCGAGUCAGGGACGCCAGUUCCUGAGGAGUCGACGUUGAAAUACUGACCUUCGCACAUUUGGUCUCUAACUCUCGGCUGAGAGGACACUGCUUGGUGGGUAGUUUGACUGGGGUGGUCGCCUCCAAAAGAGUAACGGAGGCUUCUAAAGGUACCCUCAGACCGAUUGGUAACCGGUCGCAGAGUGUAAUGGCAUAAGGGUGCUUGACUGGGAGACAGACAAGUCGAUCAGGUAG
rnacentral:rRNA from 1 species